GAUCAAGUGAAUAAGGGCGUACGGUGGAUGCCUUGGCACAGACAGGCGAUGAAGGACGUGGUAAGCUGCGAUAAGCCUCGGGGAGCGGCACACACGCGUUGAUCCGGGGAUUUCCGAAUGGGGCAACCCAGUGGGAGUCAUGUCCCACUAUCCCGAAAGGGAGGCGAACCCGGGGAACUGAAACAUCUAAGUACCCGGAGGAAAAGACAACAACCGUGAUUCUCCUAGUAGCGGCGAGCGAACGGGGAAGAGCCUAAACCCAUGUCAUGUUCAAGCGUGAGGGCGUUGUGGCGUGGGGGUCGUGGGACCGGCGGUGGCUGCCUCAUCAGCCACACGAAGUUACCAAGAAGUCGGAUAGUCGAAGCGUCUGGAAAGGCGCGCCAGAGAGGGUGACAGGCCCGUAGGCGAAAUCCGCGCUUCCUUCGGUCGGUAUCCCAAGUACCACGGGGCACGAGAAACCUUGUGGGAAUCCGGCGGGACCACCCGCCAAGGCUAAAUACUCGUCUGUGACCGAUAGUGAACCAGUACCGUGAGGGAAAGGUGAAAAGCACCCCGGGAGGGGAGUGAAAGAGACCCUGAAACCGUGCGCUUACAAGCUGUGGGAGCCCCGCACCUAAAUCCCUUCUGCGCGGGCGGAAGGACAGGCACUUGAGAAGCAAGUGCGCCGGAGGGAUUUAGGUGCGGGGUGACCGCGUGCCUUUUGCAUAAUGAGCCAGCGAGUUACUCGUCCCAUGCAGGUUAAGGUGUUCAGCACCGGAGCCAGAGCGAAAGCGAGUCUGAAUAGGGCGCAGGUAUGGGGCGGUAGACGCGAACCCAGGUGAUCUACCCAUGGUCAGGUUGAAGGUUCUGUAAAAGGAACUGGAGGACCGAACCAGGACACGUUGAAAAGUGUUUGGAUGAACUGUGGGUAGGGGUGAAAGGCUAAUCAAACCUGGAGAUAGCUCGUACUCCCCGAAAUAGCUUUAGGGCUAGCCUCGGGUGAUGACUGACGGAGGUAGAGCACUGGCAGAACUAGGGCCCUCACCAGGGUACCAAACUCUGAUAAACUCCGAAUGCCGUUAUGUUUAACCCGGGAGUCAGGUCGCGUGAGAUAAGUUUCGCGGCCGAGAGGGAAAGAACCCAGACCGACAGCUAAGGCCCCUAAGUGUGGCUUAAGUGACAAAGGAUGUGUCGUUGCUCAGACAACCAGGAGGUUAGCUUAGAAGCAGCUAUCCUUUAAAGAGUGCGUAAUAGCUCACUGGUCGAGCGAUGUCGCGCCGAUAAUUUCCGGGACUCAAGGCCACCGCCGACGCUCCGGGAUCCGCAAGGAUCGGUAGGGGAGCAUUCCGUUAACCGGUGAAGGUGGGAAGCGAUUCCUGCUGGAGGAGACGGAAAAGAUCAUGCUGGCAUAAGUAACGAUAAGGAAGGUGAGAAACCUUCCCACCGAAAGUCUAAGGUUUCCUCCGUAAAGGUAAUCUGCGGGGGGUUAGUCGGCCCCUAAGCCGAGGCCGAAAGGCGUAGGCGAUGGGAAACAGGCGAAUAUUCCUGUACCCGUGUUGGACCGUUUGAGCGAUGGGGGGACGCAGACGCGUAAGGACAGCCGGACACUGGCUUGCCGGUCUAAGCGUGUGGGAGUGUGAUAGGCAAAUCCGUCACAAAUACUCCGAGGCGCGAAUGGGAGAGCCGCAAGGCUCGCAACUGUCCCCAAGCACGCUGCCAAGAAAAGCCUCUAAGCGAGGGACGACGCGGACCGUACCGCAAACCGACUCAGGUAGAUGGGGUGAGAAUCCUCAGGUGAUCGAUAGAACCGUGGUUAAGGAACUCGGCAAAUUAGCUCCGUAACUUCGGGAUAAGGAGUGCCUCCUUGGGAGACGGACUUCGCGUCCAGAUUUCGAGGGGGCCGCAGUGACCAGGCCCAGGCGACUGUUUACCAAAAACACAGCACUCUGCGAAGUCGUAAGACGCGGUAUAGGGUGUGACACCUGCCCGGUGCUGGAAGGUUAAGGGGAGAGGUCAACCCCGCACCUAAAUCACUUCGAAAGACCGCCAUGCAUUUUGUCUAUGUGUUGCAAAGCACGUGUGUCGAACCCAGCUGGUACAUCGGAUCCACCCGGGAUCUGGAAGCCCGCUUGGUGGCGCACAAUGCCGGCCUCACGGCCUCGACACAUGGGAAGACAUGGCGCAUUGUCUACUACGAAGCCUAUCUGUCAAAAUCGGCGGCGCUGCUUCGGGAGCGGCGGCUGAAACAGGAUGGACGAAGUAGACGGCUUUUGAUGGAACGAAUUCGUUCCAGCUUGGAGUGAUUUAGGUGCGGGGGGUAGCUUUGAACCGAAGCCCCAGUAAACGGCGGCCGUAACUAUAACGGUCCUAAGGUAGCGAAAUUCCUUGUCGGGUAAGUUCCGACCUGCACGAAUGGUGUAACGAUCUGGGCGCUGUCUCGACCACGGAAUCGGUGAAAUUGCAAUGUCGGUGAAGAUGCCGGCUACCCGCGACAGGACGGAAAGACCCCGUGGACCUUUACUAUACCCUGACAUUGGGUUCUAUCUUAGCAUGUGUAGGAUAGGUGGGAGACGUUGAGGCGGCCACGCCAGUGGUCGCGGAGUCACCCUUGAAAUACCACCCUUGCCCUGGUGGAAUUCUAACCGCGAUGCGUGAAUCCGCAUCCGGGACAGUGUCAGGCGGGUAGUUUGACUGGGGCGGUCGCCUCCCACAUGGUACCGGAGGCUCGCAAAGGUUCCCUCAGCACGGUCGGCAAUCGUGCGAAGAGUGUAAAGGCAUAAGGGAGCUUGACUGCAAGACCAACACGUCGCGCAGAUGCGAAAGCAGGCCUUAGUGAUCCGGCGGUAGAGUGUGGAAUUGCCGUCGCUCAAAGGAUAAAAGGUACCCCGGGGAUAACAGGCUUAUCUCCCCCAAGAGUUCACAUCGACGGGGAGGUUUGGCACCUCGAUGUCGGCUCGUCACAUCCUGGGGCUGUAGAAGGUCCCAAGGGUUUGGCUGUUCGCCAAUUAAAGUGGCACGUGAGCUGGGUUCAGAACGUCGUGAGACAGUUCGGUCCCUAUCCGUCGUGGGCGUAUGAGAGUUGAGAGGAGCUGCAUCAAGUACGAGAGGACCGGUGUGGACGAACCUCUGGUGUACCAGUUGUCGCGCCAGCGGCACGGCUGGGUAGCUAUGUUCGGAUCGGAUAAGCGCUGAAAGCAUCUAAGUGCGAAACCGACCUCAAGAUUAACUCUCACUCAGGCCCGUCCGAGACUAGGACGUUGAUAGGCGACAGGUGUACGCACGGUAACGUGUUCAGCCAAGUCGUACUAAUCGGCCGUGUGACUUGAUCUU
rnacentral:rRNA from 1 species